GGAUGGUGGAAAAGGGGAGGUGGUACUGAAAGAAGAGGUAUGGUGAAGAAAAGGAUGGAUGAAGAAGUAGUCACAGCAACAGUGGACAAGGGAAGAGCAACUGAUGUCAUCCACUUGGACCUGAGAAGACCACACUGGGCAGUUCCUAAGUAAAGCUGUGUGAAGGUUUGAAGUACAGAAGGACAAACAUCAGAUGGAUCACAAAGCUCAGGCUGGGCAUUCAGACAGCUUUCUGUGUUGUGCCAAUUCUUUAUCUGGAUAGUUAACACUGCAGUGACUGAUCCAGAGGUUAAAACCCCAUAAGCUCCUGCUUAAUUAUCUCAGGAGAAGUACUGAAGCUCAGGCUGAGCUCUGCAUGCAGGGUGGACUUCCUAAUCAUCAGGACUACAAAGAGUGGAGACAGGCAACGAAAAGGAAAGCCACAGAGAGGUCCUGACUGCUGACUGCUCUGUGUAGAGCUCCUGAAAGGCAGCUCAGACUUGCUGGAUGCUCAACAACUGGGCUUAAAGUGAUGUGGAAAGAGCUAAUUAACCAAAGUGUGAUUAAUCCAGAGUUUGAUCAUUUCAGCACAUCAGGAAAACAGAGAUUUCACCCCCAGGUUUAAAACCAACCAACAAGAAGAAUGCAGCAGUGACCAGACCCACCAGCAGCUCUGGAAGAGAGAGUUGGCACCUACCUUGCUCAGCUCUGGGAAGAGUUCCUGAAUUGCAAUGUCCAGCAGCACAUAAGUUAACUGAAAAGAAAGAGAGAACAGAAAGGGUGCUCCAAGGCAACAUCCAAUGCUGCUUUUCCUUCUCAACCCCUGAAUUCAAACUGCCUCCUCUGCUGCAGUGCCAUGGGAAGGCAACAUCCAAUGCUGCAUUUCCUUCUCAACUCUGAACUCAAGCUCCCUCCUCUGCUACAGUGUUGUGGGUUUAAGGCACUGGGAUCUCCUAAACCACAGAGUGGAGGCCUCCAGAGGCCAGACAGGUCCAGGAGGUGGACUGGAAAGUGCAACCUUUUGUUAUUUCCUUCCCCAAAGUCCUGCAAGCCUCUUCUUGCUCUUCUCCUGCUUCCUGGCACAGGCUUCUUUAUCUCUGGGUUUGCAGGGGAGUGAGGGCUGGUGAGGACAGAAGGCAGAGAGGUGUGGGGGAUAAAGGGGACACCUGAGGCCUAGGGUUUUGGCCUGGUUUAGGGAGAGGUGGCCAAUAAAGCUUUGGCCUAAGGAGGCUCUUGGAGAACUGCA